rnacentral:rRNA from 1 species
GACGAACGCUGGCGGCGUGCUUAACACAUGCAAGUCGAACGGUGAAGCCCUUCGGUGUGGAGCAGUGGCGAACGGGUGAGUGUCACGUGAGCAACCUUCCCCUGGCUCUGGGACAACCAUAGCAAACGGUGGCUAAUACUGGAAACGACUCGCCUCGGCUGCUAGUGUGGGGGGAAUGUUUGGCGGCUGGGGAUGGGGUCGCGGCCUAUCAGCUUGUUGGUGAGGUGAAGGCUCACCAAGGCGACGACGGGUAGCCGGCCUGAGAGGGCGACCGGCCACACUGGGACUGAGACACGGCCCAGACUCCUACGGGAGGCAGCAGUGGGGAAUAUUGCACAAUGGGCGAAAGCCUGAUGCAGCGACGCCGCGUGCGGGAUGACGGCCUUCGGGUUGUAAACCUCUUUCAGCUCCGAAGAAGCGAAAGUGACGGUAGGAGCAGAAGAAGCACCGGCUAACUACGUG